UCCAGAGGUCCCGAGCGUUGUUCGGAUUCACUGGGCGUAAAGGGUGCGUAGGUGGUGAACUAAGUCGGGUGUGAAAUCUCCGGGCUCAACCCGGAGCGUGCGCCCGAAACUGGUUUGCUAGAGGAUAGGAGGGGAGACUGGAAUUCUCGGUGUAGCAGUGAAAUGCGUAGAUAUCGAGAGGAACACCGGUGGCGAAGGCGAGUCUCUGGACUAUUCCUGACACUGAAUCACGAAAGCCGGGGGAGAAAACAGG
rnacentral:rRNA from 1 species